UGGCGGCCGUAGCGCGGUGGUCCCACCUGACCCCAUGCCGAACUCAGAAGUGAAACGCCGUAGCGCCGAUGGUAGUGUGGGGUCUCCCCAUGUGAGAGUAGGGAACCGCCAGGUU
rnacentral:rRNA from 3 species